GUUAGGCAUUAAUUCUGACUAGUUACGGUAAGGGUUAAGGUUAGGCAUUAAUUCUGACUAGUUACGGUAAGGGUUAAGGUUAGGCAUUAAUUCUGACUGGUUACGGUAAGGGUUAAGGUUAGGCAUUAAUUCUGACUGGUUAAGGUAAGGGUUAAGGUUAGGCAUUAAUUCUGACUAGUUACGGUAAGGGUUAAGGUUAGGCAUUAAUUCUGACUGGUUAAGGUAAGGGUUAAGGUUAGGCAUUAAUUCUGACUGGUUAAGGUAAGGGUUAAGGUUAGGCAUUAAUUCUGACUAGUUACGGUAAGGGUUAAGGUUAGGCAUUAAUUCUGACUGGUUAAGGUAAGGGUUAAGGUUAGGCAUUAAUUCUGACUGGUUAAGGUAAGGGUUAAGGUUAGGCAUUAAUUCUGACUAGUUACGGUAAGGGUUAAGGUUAGGCAUUAAUUCUGACUGGUUAAGGUAAGGGUUAAGGUUAGGCAUUAAUUCUGACUGGUUAAGGUAAGGGUUAAGGUUAGGCAUUAAUUCUGACUAGUUACGGUAAGGGUUAAGGUUAGGCAUUAAUUCUGACUGGUUAAGGUA